GAAAAUGAAUCACAGACUAAGUACGCCGCGUUCUGCGGCAACGUCUGUGUGACCCACAUCCUGUGGG
rnacentral:sRNA from 1 species